GAUGAACGCUGGCGGCGUGCCUAACACAUGCAAGUCGAACGGAGUCCAGCCUUUAAGACCUUCGGGUCAAAGAGGGGAAGACUGAGUGGCGGACGGGUGAGUAACACGUGGGCAACCUGGCUCAUAGAGGGGGAUAACAGAGAGAAAUUUCUGCUAAUACCGCAUAAGCACACACUGCCGCAUGGCAGAGGGUGAAAAGAGAAUCGCUAUGAGAUGGACCCGCGUCUGAUUAGCCAGUUGGCAGGGUAAGAGCCUACCAAAGCGACGAUCAGUAGCCGAUCUGAGAGGAUGAACGGCCACAUUGGGACUGCGACACGGCCCAAACUCCUACGGGAGGCAGCAGUGGGGGAUAUUGCACAAUGGGGGGAACCCUGAUGCAGCGACGCCGCGUGAGUGAAGAAGUAUUUCGGUAUGUAAAGCUCUAUCAGCAGGGAAGAUAAUGACAGUACCUGAAUAAGAAGCCCCGGCUAACUACGUG
rnacentral:rRNA from 1 species